UGAGUACGAGAUGCUACGGCAUCGAAGCAGUCUAUGUCAUACUUCCAAGAAAAGCUUGCACUGUCAUAAACAAAGAAUGCCUGUACCAUAACCGACACAGGUGGGUAGGUAGAGUAUACUAAGGGGCGCGAGAUAACUCUCUCUAAGGAACUCGGCAAAAUGACUCCGUAACUUCGGGAGAAGGAGUGCCUUAUUUAUAAGGUUGCAAUAACAAGAUCCAAGCAACUGUUUACCAAAAACACAGGUCUCCGCGAAGUCGUAAGACGAUGUAUGGGGGCUGACGCCUGCCCAGUGCCAGAAGGUUAAAGAAGUUGGUUAGCAUUCGCGAAGCUGAUAACUGAAGCCCUGGUGAACGGCGGCCGUAACUAUAACGGUCCUAAGGUAGCGAAAUUCCUUGUCGGGUAAGUUCCGACCCGCACGAAAGGCGUAAUGAUUUGGAUACUGUCUCGGAGAGGGGCUCGGUGAAAUAGACUUGUCUGUGAAGAUGCGGACUACCUGCACCUGGACAGAAAGACCCUAUGAAGCUUUACUGUAACUUGAAAUUGAAAUUGGACUUUAUUUGCGCAGUAUAGGUGGGAGGCGUUGAGAAUAACCUUGCGGGUUAUUGGAGCCAUCAGUGAGAUACCACUCUUGUAAUGUUAGAUUUCUAACUUUGUAUCAUUAUCUGGUCAAAGAACAGUUUCAGGCGGGCAGUUUGACUGGGGCGGUCGCCUCCCAAACGGUAACGGAGGCGCACAAAGGUUUCCUCUGAACGGGUAGAAAUCGUAUCUAGAGUGUAAAGGCAUAAGGAAGCUUGACUGUGAGACCUACAAGUCGAGCAGGGACGAAAGUCGGUCUUAGUGAUCUGACGGUGCUGAGUGGAAAGGCCGUCACUCAACGGAUAAAAGUUACUCUAAGGAUAACAGGCUGAUCUCCCCCAAGAGUUCACAUCGACGGGGAGGUUUGGCACCUCGAUGUCGGCUCAUCGCAUCCUGGGGCGGUAGUACGUCCCAAGGGUUGGGCUGUUCGCCCAUGAAAGCGGUACGCGAGCUGGGUUCAGAACGUCGUGAGACAGUUCGGUCCAUAUCCGGUGUAGCCGUUAGAAUAUUGAGAGGAGCCUUCUCUAGUACGAGAGGACCGAGAAGGACAUACCUCUGGUGUACCAGUUAUCGUGCCAACGGUAAACGCUGGGUAGCUAUGUGUGGAGUGGAUAACCGCUGAAAGCAUCUAAGUGGGAAGCCCACCUCAAGAUAAGUAUUCUC
rnacentral:rRNA from 1 species